UGAUCCGCCACACUGCGACUGAGACACGGCCCAGACUCCUACGGGAGGCAGCAGUGGGGAAUAUUGGACAAUGGGCGGAAGCCUGAUCCAGCCAUGCCGCGUGUGUGAAGAAGGCCUUUUGGUUGUAAAGCACUUUAAGCGAGGAGGAGGGCUACUCUAGUUAAUACCUAGAGAUAGUGGACGUUACUCGCAGAAUAAGCACCGGCUAACUCUGUGCCAGCAGCCGCNGUAAUACAGAGGGUGCGAGCGUUAAUCGGAUUUACUGGGCGUAAAGCGUGCGUAGGCGGCUGAUUAAGUCGGAUGUGAAAUCUCUGAGCUUAACUUAGGAAUUGCAUUCGAUACUGUUCACCUAGAGUAUGGGAGAGGAUGGUAGAAUUCCAGGUGUAGCGGUGAAAUGCGUAGAGAUCUGGAGGAAUACCGAUGGCGAAGGCAGCCAUCUGGCCUAAUACUGACGCUGAGGUACGAAAGCAUGGGGAGCAAACAGGAUUAGAUACCCUGGUAGUCCAUGCCGUAAACGAUGUCUACUAGCCGUUGGGGCCUUUGAGGCUUUAGUGGCGCAGCUAACGCGAUAAGUAGACCGCCUGGGGAGUACGGUCGCAAGACUAAAACUCAAAUGAAUUGACGGGGGCCCGCACAAGCGGUGGAGCAUGUGGUUUAAUUCGAUGCAACGCGAAGAACCUUACCUGGUCUUGACAUAGUAAGAACUUUCCAGAGAUGGAUUGGUGCCUUCGGGAACUUACAUACAGGUGCUGCAUGGCUGUCGUCAGCUCGUGUCGUGAGAUGUGGGUUAAGU
rnacentral:rRNA from 1 species